rnacentral:rRNA from 1 species
GUGCACCAGGCGCGAAUUUUUCUCAAUGGGGGAAACCCUGAAGGAGCGACGCCGCGUGAAGGAUGAAGGUCUUCGGAUUGUAAACUUCUGUCAUUAGGGAACAAAUCUCCCAAGUAACUACUGGAAGUCUGAUAGUACCUGAAGAGGAAGAGACGGCUAACUCUGUGCCAGCGGCCGCGGUAAUACAGAGGUCUCAACCGUUGUUCGGAUUCAUUGGGCGUAAAGGGUGCGUAGGCGGCGGAGUAAGUCAGGUGUGAAAUCUCGGGGCUCAACCCCGAAACUGCACUUGAUACUGCUUCGCUUGAGUACUGGAGAGGAGACUGGAAUUUACGGUGUAGCAGUGAAAUGCGUAGAUAUCGUAAGGAAGGCCAGUGGCGAAGGCGAGUCUCUGGACAGUUACUGACGCUGAGGCACGAAGGCCAGGGGAGCAAACGGGAUUAGAUACCCGUGUAG